rnacentral:misc_RNA from 1 species
CGUAUCCUUGUAUUUGUGUGUGUAAAAUCAGUGCCUGUCCCUUACGUGCCCCCUAAUGAGAGGUAUCUUGUGGGCCGUGUUGGCCCUCCAUCUCAUAGAUCUUACAGAUGCAUUGUUCGUUAUGGAUACCGUGACGUGCAUCAGGAUGUUGAUUCUUUUGAAUCUGAGCUUGUAGCUAGGCUGGCUGAUUUCAUCAACUAUGAUUGGCAUCGAGCACAUGGGACUAACUCGUGUACUGAGGAUGAUGCUUCUCGAUCCAUUGCAUCAUCGAGUGAAUAUAGACUGACAGUAAUUGGAACCAAUUCAUUAUCUGGCUUACCAGCUUAUGAGAUUGAGGAGACUGUCCAGCCAGCAAGUGUAUCUGGUGGAUUUUUGACAUUAGAAAGUAUGGCCGAUGUUAUUGAAAUGGAACCUAUAGUUGAAAGAAAAGUGAGGUUUGCCAUUGAUGAUGAUUCACAAUAUGAUAUGCAUGUGCAGUUAAAAGACGAGCUAGAAGAUCUGUUUGCGGCUCAGCAAGCUGGUACUGCAUUUAUACUAGGGCA